AAACCGUUGGUGAAGUGGUUAUCAUGCUUACCUUCCAAAGCUCUUCCCAUGUUGGAAAGCAAGCAGCUCGGGUUCGAUUCCCGAACGGUGUA